rnacentral:rRNA from 1 species
AUUGAACGCUGGCGGCAGGCCUAACACAUGCAAGUCGAACGAGUGGCGGACGGGUGAGUAAUGUCUGGGAAACUGCCUGAUGGAGGGGGAUAACUACUGGAAACGGUAGCUAAUACCGCAUACUAUCAGAUGAGCCUAGGUCGGAUUAGCUAGUUGGUGGGGUAAAGGACUACCAAGUCGACGAUCCGUAACUGGUCUGAGAGGAUGAUCAGUCCCACUGGAACUGAGACACGUUCCGGCCUCCUACGGGAGGCAGCAGUGGGGAAUUUUGGCCAAUGGGCGAAAGCCUGAUCCAGCCAUGCCGCGUGUGUGAAGAGGGCCUUCGGGUUGUAAAGCACUUUCAGCGGGGAGGCGUUACCCGCAGAAGAAGCACCGGCUAACUCCGUGCCAGCAGCCGCGGUAAUAC